rnacentral:rRNA from 1 species
GCGCUUCACUUCGGUGAGGAGCGGCGGACGGGUUAGUAACGCGUGGGAAUAUACCCUUCACUAUGGAAUAGCCUCGGGAAACUGAGAGUAAUACCAUAUACGCCCUUCGGGGGAAAGAUUUAUCGGUGAAGGAUUAGCCCGCGUAAGAUUAGAUAGUUGGUGGGGUAAUGGCCUACCAAGUCUACGAUCUUUAGCUGGUUUGAGAGGAUGAUCAGCAACACUGGGACUGAGACACGGCCCAGACUCCUACGGGAGGCAGCAGUGGGGAAUCUUAGACAAUGGGCGCAAGCCUGAUCUAGCCAUGCCGCGUGAGUGACGAAGGUCUUAGGAUCGUAAAGCUCUUUCGCCAGAGAUGAUAAUGACAGUAUCUGGUAAAGAAACCCCGGCUAACUCCGUGCCAGCAGCCGCGGUAAUACGGAGGGGGUUAGCGUUGUUCGGAAUUACUGGGCGUAAAGCGUACGUAGGCGGAUUGGAAAGUAGGGGGUGAAAUCCCAGGGCUCAACCCUG